AUUGAACGCUGGCGGCAGGCCUAACACAUGCAAGUCGAACGCGUGGCGCACGGGUGAGUUAUGUCUGGGACACUGCCUGAUGGAGGGGUAUCACUACUGGAAACGGUCGAUAAUCCCGCAUUCCCACGGUUGUCCCCCGAUGGGAUUAGCGAGUAGGUGGGGUCAAGGCUCCUCUAGGCGCCGAUCCAUAGCUGGUCUGAGAGGAUGACCAGCCACACUGGAACUGAGACACGGUCCAGACUCCUACGGGAGGCAGCAGUGGGGAAUAUUGCACAAUGGGCGCAAGCCUGAUGCAGCCAUGCCGCGUGUAUGAAGAAGGCCUUCGGGUUGUAAAGUACUUUCAGCGGGGAGGCGUUACCCGCAGAAGAAGCACCGGCUAACUCCGUGCCAGCAGCCGCGGUAAUAC
rnacentral:rRNA from 1 species